rnacentral:tRNA from 1 species
GUCUUCGUGGUGUAGUGGUCAGCAUGCUUGACGCGUAACCGAGAUUUCCGUGGUUCGAUUCCUGGCGUAGGCG